GGGGCGCUGUGCCGUCUCCCCAACGGCGGUCAGCUUGGACCGCCUGCCCGGCGCACGCCCGGGGCGGGGGAGCCGAACUCGGUGCCAGCCGCACCCGGGCGGGUUGCUGGUGCGCCCUCCCCUCGCCCCCGUCCCGGGGGUCCUUGACCCAGGCUCUUGGGGCUAGCCUAUCUUGUGAGGAGCACAAGGUCCCUGGGGGCUCAGGGAAGAGAAAUUGGAGAAAGGGGGAGGAAGCCCCCAAGAUAGAUCACCCAUUGCCUGAUUUCGCAGGAGACUGUCCGCCUUCAGUUCUCCAGCAGCUCGGGGAUCAUGGCCCACUGAACCCCCAAGCGCUUUCACCCGAACCCAGGGAGGACGACCAGGAAAGACGGGAACUCGCGUAGACACGCCCGGAAGCCCUUGUCAUGCACUUAAGGAGCACCUACCUGUGCCAGAAACUCUCCAAAUAUUAACUCAACCUGACACCGACUCAGUGUGGCCGAAUAUUACUCUCCCCAUUUUACAGAGCGGGAAGAUUGUCAAGGAAGUCGCUUGUUGAAAUUCACACAGUGGUGGAGCCUGUGUUCCAACCCAGGACCCUGGGGUAGCUGCCUCCCCCUCUCCCACAUAGUCCUGAUUCUUUAAAUACCCACAUAUUCUUGUAACGCCUGGAGUUUCAGUAAUUAGCAGGGACUUAGUGUGUGUUCAGAGAAAAAAAAAAGCUUUUAAAAAUUAUUGUUACGGUGUUUGUAACAGUUUGGAUAGAGAAGGAAAAGCUGGAAUUUGGGAAGUGAAGGUGGCCUCCGGGGAGAACUUACCUAGACCAGAGCGAAUUCAUCCUGAAGAACUCAGGGAAAGCCGGUGCAGGUCGUGGGUUCCCGCUCUCCCUGCAUAGGCACCGUGGUGCUGCCAGAGCUCCCCCAGAAAGACCAGGAGGCUUGUUCUGGAGAAGUCAAGCCCAGGGAUGUGGCUCAGGCUGGUCCAGGCUCUUUGGAGGAGUCCAAGCGUGCCCAGCCCAGGGGGAGGUUCAGAGGCACUGACCGUCUUCUGUUUGGGAGGAGAAGCUCACUCUUGGAGCCAUAGCCAGCACUAGGUCAGGACCCAGGCCCCGGCCCAGGAGUGGGGCAAUACCCAGGGUCUACCCCAGAUGGCACCCUGCUGUGAACUGGGCGCCCUCAGCCCCCGCCUUGAAGAAGGGGCAAUACCACCAGCGUGUCUUUUAUCGGGAAGAUAUUGCUGCAGUUUGGCCCCUGCAACUUAAGAGAAAAGCUGAGGGGUCCCCAAGCGUCCCUUGGGGUACCACUGCAAAUACUGAGUGGGCCUGGAGAUGACCUGGGUCCCAUUCACUUCCUAGGGUGAAGGAGGUCAUCAUUACCACCCCUGCUUUCAGCCAUUUCUUCAUUCAUUCAAUCAACAAACUCUGGCUGAGCUGCAACCCUGAGCCGGAGAAUUCAGCCACGCCAGACGCAGCCCCUGCCCUCCGGGAAGUCUCGGGAGACCUGGCUAGUCUGGCUGGGAGAAGUCACACCUUGAUUGUCUUGGAAGUGAGAUGGCGUUUACACAAUGGAGGCUGCACUGCCAGCAGGCAAAGAUAACCAGUUAAUUCAGUGGCUUAAAGAAACCAAACCUACCCACAACGCUUGACCUCCCAUUCAUCCGUCUGCGACACCGGCAGUGGCUACCGUUUAUUGAGUGCUGAUGGUGUCACCUGGGAUUGACUUAGUGGUCUCUGGUGCUAGUUCCAAAGUUGAUUCUGUCUGGAGAGCUUAAUGCAGUGUUCAGACCUCAGGGUCCGAACCUGAGGGUCACCCAAAGAUGAGUGGGACAUAGCUGUGUGACCUCGGCUGAGUGCUUUCACCUCUCCAACCUCAGUUUCCUCUUCUGCAAAAUGGGGUGGCUUCAUGGCACCUUCACGUGGUGUGAUAGCGAGGAAUGAAGGGAUCGAUGCCUUGCAAGUAGAGGAGAGGGGACCGGAUACAUCUUAGUUGUUAUGUUAUUUAAUCAUCUUGGCAACCCUGGGAGGGAGGAACCACUAUCAUUUUAUUUUCCAUUUUGCAGAUGAAGAGAAUGAUGAUUCCAGCACAGACAGGGCCCCUGACGGGGCAGUAGGAAAGGAGAAUUGCUUUGGAAGGAGCAUAGGCUGGACUGCCAGCACUCAUAGGAGGCUUCGUGUGUGCCCAGGACUGCGAGAAUUAAAUGCAGGACACCCGGUUCAGUUUGAAUUUCAGAUAAACUAUGAAUAAUGUUUAGUAUAAGUAUAUCUCAAUUUAACUGGA